rnacentral:tRNA from 1 species
AAGGGUGUAGCUCAGUGGUAGAGCGCGUGCUUAGCAUGCACAAGAUCCUGGGUUCAAUCCCCAGUACCUCCA